UACAGGUGUGUGCCAUCACAUUUGGCAACAUUUCACAUUUUUUAAAUGAAUAGUGGGUGCUUAAUAAUCUACUUAUGGAUAAAAUAUUGUUGGGAAUUUAUGUGUUUCCAAAUUUUUACUCGUAAGGAUAAUAUGCAGGGGCUCCUUUUAUAAUACUAUUUUCCCCCUAAAAGUCUUUUGAACAACCAGGUGCCUCUUGUAUAUUUUUAAGUUGAUCUCUAACCUGGUAUCUCAAGUUUAACAAAAUACAGUUGCUCCUCCACUUACAAUGUGGCCUCAUCCCUAUCAACCUAAUGUAAGUUGAAAAAACUGUAAGUAAAAAAUGUAUUCAAUAUAUCUAGGCUACCAAAUAUCAUAGCUUAGCAACAGAGUACCCACUAUUCACCCUCGUGAUCACAUUGCUGACAGAGCACCACGCAGCAUCAUGAGAGUAUCCUACCCCACAUCACUGCCCAGGGAAAGACCAAAUACAAAAUCCCAAGAAUAGUUUCUUUUUACUCAAUGUAUAUUGCUUUUGUAUCAUAAAGCCAAGAAAUCAUGAAGUUGAACUACUGCUAUAAGUCAGGAACCAUCUGUAUAUAAUUUAGAACACACUAUUUACAUGCUUCAA
rnacentral:lncRNA from 1 species